GCUGCUCUGAUCCUAAUAGUCCUUUUGAUACUCUGUUCUAGUUUACUAAGAAGAGUCACCAAUUUUGUUUCUGUGGUUUGGUACGAAAUAAGGUGGCAAAGAGAGCUCUCUCCAAAUGCACUCCUGACAUUUUUCAGCAGCUCACAUUACUAGUUCUGGACCAAGGAUUGGGAGCAGAAGAGACACAUGUCGUCUCUGAGUUGAGGCUGUUAAGAGCUGGUGUGACUUUCCAUUCUUCUCUUCUCCUCUAGCAGCGACCUGAGAAGCUACAUAUUGACUUGGCGCUACCACGGAUGGAGGAGCCUGCAUUGCUGAAUCACAGGAUGAAGGCGAACCCAUGCCAGCCUCCAUCCGUCUCUGGGGUGCUUAGCAGAAUCCUCAGCUCACAGGAUGAAUAAAUGGAGACUAAAUGACACACAAAUAAUCUACACACACAACUAUCAACACAUGGAAAGACAGCAGGAUGGCCAGACCUCAAAGUAACAAACAGGAGGAACUACUUCUGCCAGGAGAUUCACUGGGGAAGAUAAGACAAACAGUCGCCUAUGCCAGUGCAGAAGUGACUGCAUUCCAUUUGCCACUGUCCCCCAGGCUCAUAUUUAUGCUAACAAUGUUCACAACUAUAAUAGAGGAAAAAAAGAUUUUAAGGACAAGAAUGUUUCUUGAGAAUAAGUGAACACCGCUUGUGACCUGGUAUUUUUUGGAAGAAAGGAAGGUGGUGUGAAAUGCCCCUCUCAUUCCGAGGUUCUCUGGAAAGGGCUGUCAUUCACAGUUGCCUGGGCAAGCCUGAGCAGGACACAUGUUUGGUGACUCAAAACAUGCAGAUGAACAAGAGGCCUGUCUACAGAGCAUUUGCCACUGAGUCAUUGCACUCCGCACACAGUGAGCAAUGAGCA